AGUGAACGCUGGCGGUAGGCCUAACACAUGCAAGUCGAACGGCAGCACAGUAAGAGCUUGCUCUUACGGGUGGCGAGUGGCGGACGGGUGAGGAAUACAUCGGAAUCUACUUUUUCGUGGGGGAGAACGUAGGGAAACUUACGCUAAUACCGCAUACGACCUACGGGUGAAAUCAGGGGAUCUUCGGACCUUGCGCGAUUGAAUGAGCCGAUGUCGGAUUAGCUAGUUGGCGGGGUAAAGGCCCACCAAGGCGACGAUCCGUAGCUGGUCUGAGAGGAUGAUCGGCCACACUGGAACUGAGACACGGCCCAGACUCCUACGGGAGGAAGAAGUGGGGAAUAUUGGCCAAUGGGAGCAAGCCUGAUCCAGCCAUCCCGCGGGGGUGAAGAAGGCCUUCGGGUUGUAAAGCCCUUUUGUUGGGAAAGAAAAGCAGCAGGUUAUGACCCCGCUGUUCUGACGGUACCAAAAGAAUAAGCACCGGCUACCUUCGU
rnacentral:rRNA from 1 species